CCUACGGGGGGCAGCAGUGAGGAAUAUUGGUCAAUGGCCGAGAGGCUGAACCAGCCAAGUCGCGUGAGGGAAGACGGCCCUACGGGUUGUAAACCUCUUUUGUCGGGGAGCAAAGCGAACCACGUGUGGUUCAUUGAGAGUACCCGAAGAAAAAGCAUCGGCUAACUCCGUGCCAGCCGCCGAGGUAAUACGGAGGAUGCGAGCGUUAUCCGGAUUUAUGGGGGUUAAAGGGUGAGCAGGCGGAGGGGCAAGUCAGCGGUCAAAUUGCGGGGCUCAACCCCGUACUGCCGUUGAAACUGCAUCCCUUGAGUGCGCGAGAGGUAUGCGGAAUGCGUGGUGUAGCGGUGAAAUGCAUAGAUAUCACGCAGAACUCCGAUUGCGAAGGCAGCAUACCGGCGCGCAACUGACGCUGAUGCACGAAAGCGUGGGGAUCGAACAGGAUUAGAUACCCGGGUAGUC
rnacentral:rRNA from 1 species